GAUGAAGAACGUAGCGAAAUGCGAUAAGUAAUGUGAAUUGCAGAAUUCAGUGAAUCAUCAAAUCUUUGAACGCACCUUGCGCCUUUUGGUAUUCCGAAAGGCACACCUGUUUGAGCGUCAUGAAUACCUCAAUCUCCAUCUUUUCUUCGGAUUGAUGGGUGACUUGGAUGUUGAGCCCUGCUGGUAUGCUAUAUCAGCUGGCUUUAAACUUAUUAGCCGGCUCUGUACUGGAUCGGUUUGACUCGACGUGAUAAUAUUAUCGUUGAGGAUGCAUGUCUCAUGCAGCCGGAAAGUAUCAAAGCAGCUUCUAGCUUGCCUUUAGUGCACUUUUACAUUUUAGACCUCAGAUCAGGUGGGACUACCCGCUGAACUUAAGCAUAUCAUAAGCGGAGGA
rnacentral:misc_RNA from 1 species